AAGAAGGUUGUUUGGAAUCCAGCGAACCUAUUUUUAAAGAUUGGCUAAACUGCAUAAACUCUUUAAUCUGUCCUUCCUUUUCACGUCUGGAGAGAGGACCAGCCUUACGGCGGGCGUUGAAAAACCUUUCAGCUGCUCGAGAAUCUGGACCAGGUGCGCGAGGCAAAGCAAGGUGACGGUGAGACACAAUUGCUGGAUCAUCAGGAGGAACUACUUUCUGCUGUGGAUGUUGAUGAGG